rnacentral:RNase_P_RNA from 1 species
GAAGUUCGCCAGGCAGUCGCUGCGCACGGGUUGCGCGGAGGAAAGUCCGGGCCCCAUAGAGCAGGAUGUCGGCUAACGGCCGGGCGUCGCGAGGCGACGGAAAGUGCAACAGAAAGCAAACCGCCGAUGGCUCGGACGGCGCCGCCGUAAAGCGGCAAAGUCCACUUUGAAGGGCGAGCUCUUCAAGGUGUGAGAUCAGGUAAGGGUGAAACGGCGGGGUAAAAGCCCACCGCGCCGCCGGUAACGGCGGUGGCACGGCAAACCCCAUCCGGGGCAAGGCCAAAUAGGGAAGCGAUGGCGUGGCUCGCGCCGCUUCCGGGUAGGCCGCUGGAGCGGCGCGGUAACGCGCCGCCAAGAUGAAUGACUGCCCGGCGCAUUUCGGUGCGCUCGACAGAACCCGGCUUAUCGGCGAACUUCCCUU